CAAUAGCGUAUAUUAAAGUUGUUGCGGUUAAAAGUUCGUAGUUGGAUUUCUGCCGAAGACGACUGGUCCGCCCUCUGGGUGAGUAUCUAGCUCGGCUUGGGCAUCUUCUUGGAUAACGUAGCUGCAAUUGACUGUGUGGUGCGGUAUCCAGGACUUUUACUUUGAGGAAAUUAGAGUGUUUCUAAGCAGGCACACGCCUUGAAUACAUUAGCAUGCAAUAAUAAGAUCGGACCUCGUUUCUAUUGUGUUGGUUUCUAGAGCUGAGGUAAUGAUUAAUAGGGAUAGUUGGGGGCGAUUCGUAUUUAACUGUCAGAGGUGAAAUUCUUGGAUUUGUUAAAGACGGACUAUUGCGAAAGCAUUUGCCAAGGAUGUUUUCUAUUGACCAAGAACGAAAGACUAGGGGAGUCGAAGAUGAUCAGAUACCA
rnacentral:rRNA from 1 species